ensembl:lncRNA
CCAUGAUGACCUUAUCAGCAUCCUUGACCAACAAAGCAGUGGCUGCCAUAAUGCAUAGGCAGGCUGGCCACCCCCAUUGUUAAAAACUUUUUCAGCUAUUGCCGGGAGCCUAGUCAUGUGCUUAACUUCAAAUCCUUCCAGCAACUGGAGUUUUCAGCAGAUGUCUGGUGCCACUUGAUUGAUGAAUCACAGCAGACCGGAUCUUGCCUCUGGAUCCAGAGGUAUAUAGGAAAAAACUUUUCAUCUUCUGGGCCUGACAGCCAGACUGUCUCCACCCAAGUUGCCAUGGAAACCACAGGAACCUGAGAACUGCUAUGGAGACCACAGGGAACUGUUUACUUCGUGGACUACAGACCAACUUCUGUUAUUUUAAUUAAUACCUGACUCCUAGAUUAUAAUUGAUUCUUCCCAGAUUUCUGACUACAUUGAAGCUAAGCUUGAGAGCUAGAAAACAGACCUAGCUCCUUACCCCAAGGAAGUAUUGCUCUACAUGGCUACUGGUGUCCUGGAACUUACCAUGUGAAUCAAGAUGGCCUCAAACUCAGAGAUGCAUUUGUAUGUCUCCAAAACACACCACUAGGUCCAGG